rnacentral:rRNA from 1 species
CUUAAAGUUGCUGCGUUUAAAACGCUCGUAGUUGGAUUACGCAGUAUAAUCUAGUCGAUUGGCAUGAUGUUACACCAAAUUUAAUUAAUCUAAUUUUUAACUACGGUGUAUCCUAGUUAAAAAAGAGAUUAAUUAAAGUGAUACGUGUCGAUUUACAGCUAGUUUAUGCUACUUUUUCGUGAGGAUGUAAAUUGGCCUUUAAUGCGUUGAUUUUCGUGUCUCACGAAGUGUGCCUUGAAUAAAUCAGAGUGCUCAAAGCAGGCUUUAGCUUGAAUGUUGAUAGCAUGGAACGAACAAUUGUGUUGAAAGUGUUUUAAAGAGCUCUUAGAUAAAUUAUGUUUAUUUAUUGUUGUUUUUUAAAACACAGCACCAACCACCAUUAUCGGAUGUUGGUUUCCGUGAUGGGGUGAUGAUUAAAAGGAGCGGUUGGGGGCAUUGGUAUUUUGCCGCGAGAGGUGAAAUUCUUGGACCGGCAAAGGACUAACAAAUGCGAAGGCAUCUGUCAAGACCGUUUCCAUUAAUCAAGAACGAUAGUGAGAGGUUCGAAGACGAUUAGAUACCGUCCUAGUUCUCACCGUAAACUAUGCCAACCCGGGAUCAGUUUCGAGCUAAAAAAUGCUCGUGGUUGGUCCCCCUGGGAAACCUUAAGUUUUUAGGUUACGGGGGGAGUAUGGUUGCAAGGCUGAAACUUAAAGGAAUUGACGGAAGGGCACCACCAGGAGUGGAGCCUGCGGCUUAAUUUGACUCAACACGGGAAAACUCACUUGGUCCAGACAUCGAGAGGAUAGACAGACUGAUAGAUCUUUCUUGAUACGGUGGAUGGUGGUGCAUGGCCGUUCUUAGUUCGUGGAGUGAUCUGUCAGGUUGAUUCCGGUAACGGACGAGACCAUAAUCUUCAUUUAUGGAGCUGGGGAAGACUAUGUGUUAAUUAUUUCGGUAAUUGGCAUAUAGUUGAUGGUAAAAUGAGUCUUACAUGGAUGAUAGAAACUUUGUAGGUUGAGGUUUACACCGAAAUUUGCUUUGAUUUUAUUAUCUGUAAUGGGACACAUUUUCCCCCUAGUCAAACAUCGCAAAAAACUCGUUUUUUUGUAAUGUACUAUGGAGAGACAACCAAAUAUACAUUAGAAAUUGGAGGAAGCAUUUGGCGAUAACAGGUCUGUGAUGCCCUUAGAUGUCCAAGGCCGCACGCGCGCUACAAUGAUAGUAACAAUGAGUUUCUGGGUCGAAAGACUUGGGUAAUCUUUUUAAUUACUAUCGUGAUGGGGAUUGAUCGUUGCAAUUAUCGGUCAUGAAAGAGGAAUUCCUAGUAUGCGUACGUCAUUAGCGUAUGCAGAUUAAGUCCCUGCCCUUUGUACACACCGCCCGUCGCUACUACCGAGUGAAUCGUGUCAUGAUGCCUUGGGACUGGACGUUAAUUUAGUGUGUUUCACAUUUUAAUGACGCUAGGAUCAAUGUAAAAUGGCGCAAUUUCGAGGAAGUAAAAGUCGUAACAAGGUUUCCGUAGGUGAACCUGCGGAAGG